rnacentral:rRNA from 1 species
GACGAACGCUGGCGGCGUGCCUAAUACAUGCAAGUCGAGCGAAUCUGAUGGUAGCUUGCUCCUUGAUGAUUAGCGGCGGACGGGUGAGUAACACGUGGGUAACCUGCCUGUAAGACUGGGAUAACUCCGGGAAACCGGUGCUAAUACCGGAUAACUUUUUUCUUCGCAUGAGUGAGAAUUGAAAGAUGGCCUUGACUAUCACUUACAGAUGGACCCGCGGUGCAUUAGCUAGUUGGUGAGGUAACGGCUCACCAAGGCGACGGUGCGUAGCCGGCUUGCGGGGGUGAUCGGGCAAAUAGGGGGUCGGACGCAGCCCGGAGUCCAGCCGGAGGCAGCAGUAGGGAAACUUCCGCAAGAGACGCAAGUCUGACCGAGGCAAGCCGCGUGAGUUAUGAAAGUUUUCGGAUAGUAAAACCCUGUUGUUAGGGAAAAACAAGUUUCGUUCGAAUAGGGCGGUACCUUGACGGUACCUAACCAGAAAGCCACGGCUAACUACGUG